CCUUGCGGACAUACCUAUUGUUGCUUCGGCGGGGCGCCCUGUUACAGGGCGCUGCCCCUGAGUACCCUCUCGGGGGCGCCCGCCGACGGCACGUAAACCAAACUCUUGUUUUUUCAAGUAUUCUGAGUAGACUACAAAAUAAGUCAAAACUUUCAGCAACGGAUCUCUUGGUUCUGGCAUCGAUGAAGAACGCAGCGAAAUGCGAUAAGUAAUGUGAAUUGCAGAAUUCAGUGAAUCAUCGAAUCUUUGAACGCACAUUGCGCCCGUUAGUAUUCUGGCGGGCAUGCCUGUUCGAGCGUCCUUUUGGACCCUCGGGCCCGGGUUGACGACAGUCUCCCCAGGCCCGGUGUUGGGGUGUCGCGGCUGCCGCGCCCCCCUAAAACCAGUGGCGGACCCCUCCGUGGCCCGGGCGUAGUAAUAUUACGUUGCCUUCGGUCGCGCUGCGGGCCUUGCCCCCAGUACCAUCUACACAAAGUUGGACCUCGAAUCAGGUAGGAAUACCCGCUGAACUUAAGCAUAUCAAUAAGCGGAGGAA
rnacentral:misc_RNA from 1 species